UAAUGGCGUCAAACGGUUGGCCAAAAACCCUUAUUUUGAAGGCAAAUUCAAACUACUUCCGGUAAUUUUCGCUCUCCCCGUCUGUGAGCUUGACUCAGCUUCGCCAUCUGUCAGAUACAAAGGCGGCCUUUUUUCUUUUCCUUUUGUGGCGGCGCUAGGCCGCCUACCAAAGAAGCAGAGCAGGUGUUAGCGCCCAUCCUCCCACCACACCGCGUUUCCCCGGGGAUGAGGGGGAGAAAGGAAGACCCCGAACAAGCCCUAGAACUGUAUGUCGAUACAGGGGGUGAUGUCAUGCAUACACGCAUGACAUCAACCCCUCUAUCUGGCUUUUGGCAACAAACAUUUAAAGAGGCUGAACUCUUCUGGUUGCAAAGAUAUCUGAUUGUGUGGAAAUCUCUGCAGAGAUUGCCCAGCUCCUCACUUGCUAAGUCCCAAGCAGACUGAGCUCUCCCCCAACACUUCACUGAGCCAGUGUGUUGGUCAGAGCAGCACAAUCAAUACUUCUGAUGUUAAGGACAGCUGAAAGCCUGCUAAGAAAUCUGAGCGGUGCUUCCAUGCCUGAGCUGGAGCUGCCACCCUGGUGGCCUUCUGCAGGCCUGAUUCAGAUAACCCACAUAUACUCACAGAAUGGGUGUGUUACAGAUGACACAUACAGUUCCUUGUUAAAUGUUUAACACAUUUUUGUUUGAAUUUAAACAUUAGAUGUGUACAAAAUGUGUAAGAAAUGUAAAAAUCCAUAAAAAGCACAAUACACGUAUGCUGCAGUUUAACAUGUUAUUGUCAAAAAUACAAACAAAUAGCUCAGUGUGUGCCCAUCAUACAUG